rfam:Paramecium tetraurelia chromosome undetermined scaffold_172, whole genome shotgun sequence.
GGGCUUGUAGCACAAUUGGUAGUGCGCCUGACUACGGAUCAGGCGGUUGCAGUUUCGAGUACUGCCAAGCUCG